ACAAGGUGAAAACGCACUUUACCACCGGUCUUCGGAACCGAGGGUUGUGGGUUCGAGUCCCUCCGGGUGUA
rnacentral:tRNA from 1 species